CAUCGCCUCUUGAACCCUUAUAAGAGGUCCAGCCUGCCCAGUGACUCUGUUCAACGGCCGCGGUAUCCUAACCGUGCGAAGGUAGCGUAAUCACUUGUUCUUUAAAUGUGGACUAGUAUGAAUGGCAUCACGAAGGUUAUACUGUCUCCUUUUUCUAAUCAGUGAAACUAAUCUCCCCGUGAAGAAGCGAGGAUAAAACUAUAAGACGAGAAGACCCUAUGGAGCUUUAAACAUUUAUAACACUUGCUAAAUAAAAUACAAAUUUCAGAAUUAUUUACUCUUUAAGCAACUUGUCUAUAAGUUUUUGGUUGGGGUGACCGCGGAGCAUAAUACAACCUCCAUGUUGAAAGAUCUAUUUCUAAGCUAAGAGCUACACCUCUAAGCAUCAACAUAUUGACAUCCAUUGACCCAAUAUAUUUGAACAACGAACCAAGUUACCCUAGGGAUAACAGCGCAAUCCACUUCAAGAGCUCCUAUCGACAAGUGGGUUUACGACCUCGAUGUUGGAUCAGGGUUUCCCAGUGGUGCAGCCGCUACUAAAGGUUCGUUUGUUCAACGAUUAAAACCCUACGU
rnacentral:rRNA from 1 species